CACGGACCCGGCCCCGCCGGGUGGCUACCCCGGCCGCCGAUCCGCCGGGAAACC
rnacentral:ncRNA from 1 species